rnacentral:tRNA from 3 species
GGGGACAUAGCUCAAUUGGGAGAGCACCGCCUUUGCAAGGCGGGGGUUAGGGGUUCGACCCCCCUUGUCUCCA